rnacentral:rRNA from 1 species
GGAUUAGAUACCCUGGUAGUCCACACCGUAAACGCUGUCUACUAGCUGUUUGUGUGAUUUAUCACGUGGGUAGCGUAGCUAACGCGCUAAGUAGACCGCCUGGGGAGUACGGCCGCAAGGUUAAAACUCAAAUGAAUUGACGGGGGCCCGCACAAGCGGUGGAGCAUGUGGUUUAAUUCGAUGCAACGCGAAGAACCUUACCAGGGCUUGACAUCCAGCGAACUUUCUAGAGAUAGAUUGGUGCCUUCGGGAACGCUGAGACAGGUGCUGCAUGGCUGUCGUCAGCUCGUGUUG